rnacentral:rRNA from 1 species
CGGAGGGUGCAAGCGUUAUCCGGAUUCACUGGGUUUAAAGGGUGCGUAGGUGGAUUUAUAAGUCAGUGGUGAAAGCCCCGAGCUCAACUUGGGAAUUGCCAUUGAUACUGUAGAUCUUGAGUGCGGUUGAGGUAGGCGGAAUGUUGCAUGUAGCGGUGAAAUGCUUAGAUAUGCAACAGAACACCAAUUGCGAAGGCAGCUUACCAAGCCGAUACUGACACUGAUGCACGAAAGCGUGGGGAUCAAACAGGAUUAGAUACCCUGGUAGUCCACGCCCUAAACGAUGAUUAUUCGACAUUAGCGAUAAACUGUUAGUGUCCAAGCGAAAGCGUUAAAUAAUCCACCUGGGGAGUACGCCCGCAAGGGUG